UCCGUGCCAAGUACGAGCAGAAGCUC
rnacentral:piRNA from 1 species